UACACACCGCCCGUCACACCAUGGGAGUUGGUUCUACCUGAAGACGGUGCGCUAACCCGCAAGGGAGGCAGCCGGCCACGGUAGGGUCAGCGACUGGGUG
rnacentral:rRNA from 1 species